GGGGAACAAUGACAGCAGCAAAUAUGCAUUUUCUUAAUUUUUAUUGACCAAAACAUAAGGUUGUUUUUUUCAGUGUCAAAGGAGGCUAGAAAAAGUGCUGAGGAAUAGUUUCUGCUCUCACUUUGGGUCUGAUGCCUUUAGCUUACAAGGGUAACCUCUACUUCUUAAACUUCUGCAUUUUCCAGGAAUAGGCUUGCAGAUUCUUAGAAUUAAUGAGCUGGAAAGAACUUGACCAUCUGGUUCAAAGCUCUUGUUUAAAGAGCUUGCUUCCUCUGGGCCUUAUUCCUGAAGCCUUGACUUUGUACUGGCCCUAGAGUUUGGGAUUCAGUUCAAAUAGAAAAUUUGCUAUUAUGUUAUAAAAUGACAUUUUUUUACCCUUUCAUAUUUAAUAAAAUUUCCUAUAAAGGCUAGAUUCAUUUUUCACUUUUUAGACAAUUUCCCAUGAAAAAUAGAUGGAUUUCUCACUUUUCAGACACUAAACAUUUGAAAUUUAGGGAGUGGGAUGGACCAGGAAUGUGUGGUUAGUAGAUGCAAACUAGCAUUUGGAAUGGAUAAGCAAUGAGAUCCUUCUGUAUAGCAUAGGGAACUAUUAUCUAGUCACUUGUGAUGGGAUAUUAUGGACAAUAAUGUGAGAAAAAGAAUAUAUAUAUAUACAUAUAUAUAUACAUCCGGUCAUGUAUAUAUAUGACCGGAUCACUUUGCGGUACAGCAGAAGUUGACCGAACAUUGUAAAUCAACUAUAAUGGAAAAAAUAAAAAUCUUAAAAACAGAAAUUAGUCCUAGAGUUCCCUGGUGGUCUAAUGGUUAGGAUUCAGCGCUUUCACCACUGUGGCCAGGUUCAAUCCCUCGUCUGGGAAUUGAGCUCCCACAUCAAGCCAUGUACUUCAUGGCCAAAAAUAAAAAAUAAAAAUAAAAAUUGGUCCUAAAGGAUAGUUUUCAAAAUAUACAGAACAAUAGUAGAUAAGAACCAUUGCUCUCCAUCUCUCCCCUGUCCAUCCCUCCUUCUACCCCAAAUUCACCCUACUUAAGCAUUUAUGCAUUACUUCUGCAAUAAGAUAAUUCUUUAGGCUGGAAAACUCAGUUCACUUGACUCUCAUUAGUUCGAAGUUACUUGCCCAAUGUAAAAUAGUCUUGAUUUCAUGUAUUCUGUUGUUUUAGUUUAAUUUAUCAGUUGGCCACUAUAUGUACAAAAUAGAAUUGGUGCUCAGAAGGAAGGACAAAGUCUUUGAAAUAUUAACUACUAUACUUGUUUUUAGUAUGACGUUAAACCAGUUGCAUACUUGUCGACUUACCCACCUACAGUGGAUGAAACAGCAAAUUACAAGAGUUUAUCCAAAAAGUUCUUCUCUGGAAAAAGAACUUAAGAAAUAGAAACUCUUCUUCCUGAAGAGGCCAGGUCUUCCCAGGAUGAGCUGAGAAAAUGAUGGGCAAACCCAGUACUACUUCAGCACACCUCUCUCACAGUCUUUUUUCUAAAUCCCUGUUUUAUUUGAACACUACGGCCCUGAGCCAAAAGAGUGCUUCAGCAAAAAUCUGCCUUCCUGGGGGCAAAAGCAAUCUCACUCUGAGGAAGGCAGAGACUGACUUUGACUGGACAAAAGAUGGUUUUCUUUUCCCUCCAGCAAAAAUUGCUCCAAUUACUUGAGAAAGAGACACAAUAUGAUGUUUAUGCCUGUUUACAGAUGUUUAACCAGUGCCCCUUCAGAGGGUCAUGUGUCUAUAAACAGCAUCAUGGUAAUUAUAUCUAUCGCUGCAAAGAACAGAUGUGGAAAUUGGUGGUUUCUUGGGGGAAAAUAAUACCAAGUCCACUUUCCAGAAAUGUACACAGUGCAACACAGCUGUAACAUUCUGUGCGGGGGUCUCUCUCAUGUCUGUAGUUGCAUGUGCUUACACUCAGAGAAUAUGGGAGAUCAGUGGGGCACCUAGCAGAAAAGACAGGGGCACAUAGAAAAUGAUGCAGAUCAUUUCAUAUGGUUACAAAUUCCUAGUGAUACUAGACACAUUUCCACAGCGAAAGAAGGUAAACCUUUGAUUCUGAAGUUUUCCAGGCAAGAAAUAGGUAUUGAGUAGGUUUAGAAACCUUCUGGUUCUCCACACAACCCUGAGGUCUGUGUGUCCCAGCUAUAACAAGAUUUCGGUUAGGCCAGAUUGCAUCAAGGUUAUCAUACUUUGGCCCAUGAACACCAGAAUAUUCUUAAACUCACCCCUGCAGGGUCUGGUAGGGGUCAGUCCCCUCCUGAAAACCAGAAUUCAAGGGGUUCUUAUUUUAAAUGCCUAUGUUACUUUGGAGGUAAUAAGUCUAAAUGAAAUCUAAUCUAUGUCAAAUACUGUGUGCAGAAUGUUAUAUAGAGAGCCAGUGUGUGCCUAAAGGAUGAGAUUUCUCCUGAGCCAAGGCUAUCUGUUACCAAAUCUCUGCAGAAGACAAUAUGUAUCCUAUAAACUAUUAAUUGUGGCAAAACACUGGAAGUUAAUUUGCAUUUUUAUCACAUACAACAAUAUGCAAUGGCAUUGAGCCUAACAUGGAAAUUUUGCUUCUGGGGCAAAAAGAAUGUAAUCUUCUUUUUCCAGGCUAUGUUUUUCUGCUUUUAAUGAUUCCAUACAAACUACCCAGCAGCACCAAAACAAGAUCUCUAUGAUUGAAAUGUAACAGAGGAGCAAUCUAGUCUGCUAAUCUGGCUCAGAAUGGAAGGAUAAUAGAGACCCACCAAGUGCCUUAGGCAAAAGCAUGCCUUUUGACACUAAUGAUCUAAUUCAGCUGUCUACCUUGUCCCAAUUUCAGCCUUCUCAUUCUCUGUGGCCCUAAGGAUUCAGGGAAAAUACAGGAGGUGAGGAGGCCUAACACAAGCUCUAUCACUGGUUGCCCCACUCUCUUAGACCUCAGUUUCCAGGGCUAUGAAAGGACAUGGUUGAUGUUCUCACAUCUUGAGAGUGUCUAUUUAUGUUGCAAUUUAAGACAGGGAUUCUUGGUCAUAUGUGUGGCAUGCUCCAACUGCCUCUAAAAUCAGGAGACAAUAGGGUGGAAAUAGGAAAUUCUUACUUGUGUGAUUGAAAUAUUUUCAGUAAAAUCAAGGAAGCUAUUUCCAAACAGGAAUGUGGCUCAGCUAUCAUCCUCAUUGUGGUCUAAGCCCAUAAGGGUACUUAUUAAAACACAUUUCAGGCCCUCUGCAGUGCUCUACCAGACUGCCUCAGACAGCAUAUGGAAACUGCUUUACACAAGCGCGCUGGCAGUAAAAUACGUACUCUGAGGUUGGAAACCCUUCAUCUAGGUGAAUGAGCUCUUUUUCUGUUAAUCUGUAAUUUGGUUGGGAGAAAAUCAUUAGUCUACCCCAAAUGUCAGUUUUAUAAUAAUAGAAACAUUAUUUGUCUUUCCUGUGUCCCAGAAAGUGUUAGUAUCUUAGUAGGACAGCCUGUUAGAAAAUACCCUCUUAGAAGAGUAAGCAAUUUCUUAGUUAUAACUGGCUUGUUUUUCAAAAAUAAAUAACCUUGAAACUUUAAAAUGCUGUUCCUUUUCCCACGGAAAUAACAUAAAAUGGUGUUAGUGUUUCCGGACCUAUUUAUAAAAUUCAGGUUGAUCCAAAAUGUAGCUGGAAUUUUGUACAUUUUCAAAGAAAACAGUAGAAAACAAUUGUGUUACUGGGUUUUAGAAAGUAAUAGAGCCAGUUUUUUAUAUCUAAUUUCAUACAUUCCCCUAAAAUUUCCCUUCUCUAAUUGAUGUUGUGUUAGUCCAUGCAGGAGUAGCCAGAAGGGAAAUUAUAGCAAAACUCUUGUUUAUUAGGUAACUUUGGGUCAUGAUGGGAUUCUCAAGAGGAAUGAGAAGAGGGAUGGGUAAAAAGUAAAUUUUCCAUGCUGAUUGGGCAAAAGCUAGAAGAAAUACCAUCGUGGGGAGAUGAAGUCAGGGCAGGGGAAAACAGAGAAAAGGGAUAUUAAAGAGGAAAUGAGUGGCUUAUGUGACUUGGUGAAGACCUGAGUGGAAGUGUAGGAGAGUUGAGUUGCUUAGAUCUAAGGAAAAUAACUUGUUGGAUGUAUGGCUGCCCCUCAGAAGAAAGGAACACUGGGUAGGAGACUUUGUCAAUUACCGAUUGUUACCACCAGAUGGCGAAAAUGAUCCCAGGCCUCUUUCAGUUUAUCAGGAAAAGGGAAAAGAGUAUGUGCUUUGCUUAGUAAUUCAUUCAUUUACUCCACAAAUAUUUACUGAGUGCCCUCUAUGUCCCAUGAGUUAUGCUAGGGAUUGAUGUUGAAAUGGCCAACCUGACAAAGUCCCUGCCCUCAGUGAACUUACAGUUGGGUAGAGAAUUAAACUGGCACAAAAAUAGCCCUAGAAUAUGAGUUAAUACUCUUCUUAUAUAGUGAGGUACAGGCUUCCUCCUCUGAUGACUUGCCUCAAUGUUAACCCAGACAAAUCCAGAGAUAGACAAAGCCGAUACUUCUUUUUCUCUAGAAACCUGCCCACACCUGGGUGAUUGCCUCCUAGCUUCUCUUCCACCCCACCUCUUGGGCUUUCAAGAGGCACCAGCCUUCAGUUUUCCCACAAAUGAAAACAUACUAGCCUUUGGCCUCUUGCCUUUAAAAUGUUUCUCUUGGCUAAGUGACCAGUAUUAAUCUGAUUCACCAAGAGAGGUGGUAUUACAGAAUUCCUCGCCUCUGAUAUCAUUUGCAUUUUAGGGAGGUUUGGGAGGCUUUUUCUUUCUUUUUUUUCUUUUUUCUUCUUUUCCACAAUGCUUCCAAAGCCUAGCAACAUUUAAUUGGGGGGGGGGGUAUUGGACACCUCCGACAUUCUUAGAAAAGUUAGGACAUUAAACAGCAACAUAACCAUAUAAACAAACUACAAAAGCAUAUUACUUCAGAUUCAGGGACACCCUAAUGCUCAUUCUUAGACCAUCUCAGACUUUGAAAAACAAACAAAAAACUAUCGUCUAUUAUCUAUAUCUUAAUCUAUCUACCUACCUACGUAUCCAUCCAUUUAUCUCAUUCAAAGAACUGACACAAAUGUAGGCGCUUGUGGCACAAAAUGCUGGAGAGCAGCAAAAAGAGCUUAAGCAAACUUUUUUAUUUUCCCUAAGCAGGGCUGGUUCUGUUUGGUGUCUCUCCCCUGUUUCUGUCCAGCGAAUACGACUGACGGUUCGGUCUGUUUUCACUAAGCCUCUCAGGCUUUGUCUCCCUGCCACCUCCCUUGCAUUUUGACUCUGGUUUCCCUCCCACAGCCCCUCAACGCUUCUCUUUUUUUUUGCCUCCUUUAGGCGUUGCCUCUGGCUCCCUUUAGAGUGACCUCAUCCCUUUGUUUCUCAUCUGCGGCCACCAGUCAGCCCCUCCCUGCGCCCUCAUCCCGGGCUGCGGGCGAGGCCCGGUCGCAGGGACCCGAGGGACCGCAGGGCGUGGCUCCGCCCGGUUGCAGUGGAGAGCCGCCCUCGGAGCCCCUCCUCCAACGCCCCAAACCUCGGGGAAAGAUUUCAGCGCCCCCGGAACCUACGGGAGUUGUGUCUUAUCUUAAGGAACCUUCACAAACUCUCAUUUGGGAGAUAACUGCUUUUCUCAAUAUUAGUCUCAUGGUAUGUUCAGUGUGCUACAUAAUUUUAGAAGGCAGGAGACAAACGAAGUUCAAGUGGCCAUUGAACAGGAUUUGGUGAGAGUCAACUUCUUUGAUACUUUCUUUUUUGGGAAAAUAGAAAAAUGGGACAUAUGUACUUUUGCACACAGUUAGAUGCCUUGAACAUUUGACUCAAAUGUCCUAGUCAGUUCCUUCAGUGCACAGACACAGAAACAGAGGCCCAGAGAGGUGAAGAGACUUCCACGAAGUUGCAGUUGAGAUGGGAUGUGUCACAUUUACAACCCUGGUCUCCUCAUUGUGAAUGGGGGGCUUUUGUUAAUUUACCUGCUGCUUCUUAUUUCUUUGAAUUUCAUAAUAGAGACACCUCUGAAAUUGUGCUUUCACUUAAAGAGAUAUUCAAAAGGAAUUGUGGGUCUUCCAGGACAGGUGUGUUUUAUCCAAGCAUUGUGGGCCUGUGUAUUUCACACUGUGCUGUGCAAAAGAUUUAUGAAAAUACAGAUCCUUAUGAGUGGAUCUGGGGUACGGUGAGAGUGCAUUGCUGCCCAGCUCCUAGAAGUACAGGUGCAGGCACUCCUUAUGUUGAGGUGCAAAACUGUGGACAGCAUCUUUCCUCCUUGCCUUGCCUUUCUCACAGAUAGGACAGCCCCAGGGAUUUCAGGAACCUUGUUUUUCCUGUUACCAGGUCACCGCGCUCCCUCAGCUCAUCUGGAUGCCUUUCACUGCUUUGUCUUCUUCCAGACCUGAGACUGUUAGAAAUAGUCCCUAGAGACAGGUAUCUUGAGCUGGAGGGUGUGAUCUUUUGUCUAGUGACUUUAGCACUAUCUAACUCGCUUCCACAAAAUCUUUCACACAUAAGCAACUUGCUCAACACUGAUGAUUUAAAAAAAAAAAAAAAAAAGUGCUUUUUCUCUUGAACAAGUGGCCUCCCAGCUGUGGCUCAUUUCUCUCCUUCUGGGAGUGCAGCUGGCAUGCUGUUUGCACAGGCCUGGCCCUGCCCACGGGGCUCAGCAGGUCUUUAUGCAUUUUCCUACCAGUCAGUGGCUUCUGUCCAGCAUUGGCCAGAUGCUUGUAAUACCCGGAUUCAGGUCAGAGUGUCUCUGUGCACCCUCUGAGUUGAGCAAAUAGCCUCAACAGGGCAGGGCCUUUCUAAGGCAGGCAAGCCUCCAUGGCACCCAAUUCUCAUGUCUCUGCAGCUUUUCUGCUGUGGCUCUUUCAGUUGCUCUGUGAGCUCUUUUUCAGUCUAUCUUGUUCUAAGCUGUUCUCAUGAAAGAAGCACUUUCAUCCAAACUGUAACACAUGGAGUUCCCAUUGUGUCUCAGUGGGUUAAGAACUUGACAUAAUGUCCUUGAGGAUGCAGGUUCGAUCCAUGGCCUCACUCAGUGGGUUAAGGUUCUGGAGUUGCAGUGAGCUGUGGCAUAGGUCACCGAUGCGGCUCAGAUCUGGCGCUGCUGUGGCUGUGGUGUAGACCAGUGGCUACAGCUCCAAUUUGACCCCUAGCCUGGGAAAUUCCAUAUGCUGCAGGUGCAUCCCUAAAAGAAAAGGAAAAAAAAAAAA
rnacentral:lncRNA from 1 species